UACGUAGGCAGCGAGCGUUGUUCGGAGUUACUGGGCGUAAAGGGUGUGUAGGCGGUUGUUUAAGUUUGGUGUGAAAUCUCCCGGCUCAACUGGGAGGGUGCGCCGAAUACUGAAUGACUUGGAGUGCGGGAGUGGAAAGUGGAAUUCCUGGUGUAGCGGUGAAAUGCGUAGAUAUCAGGAGGAACACCGGUGGUGUAGACGGCUUUCUGGACCGUAACUGACGCUGAGACACGAAAGCGUGGGUAGCAAACAGG
rnacentral:rRNA from 1 species